rnacentral:rRNA from 1 species
AUACGUAGGUGGCAAGCGUUGUCCGGAAUUAUUGGGCGUAAAGCGCGCGCAGGCGGCUAUGUAAGUCCGGUGUCAAAGCCCGGGGCUCAACCCCGGUACGCAUCGGAAACUGUGUAGCUUGAGUGCAGAAGAGGAAAGCGGUAUUCCACGUGUAGCGGUGAAAUGCGUAGAGAUGUGGAGGAACACCAGUGGCGAAGGCGGCUUUCUGGUCUGUAACUGACGCUGGGGCGCGAAAGCGUGGGGAGCAAACAGGAUUAGAUACCCUGGUAGUCCACGCCGUAAACGAUGAGUGCUAGGUGUUGGGGGUUUCAACACCCUCAGUGCCGCAGCUAACGCAAUAAGCACUCCGCCUGGGGAGUACGCUCGCAAGAGUGAA